ACGGGAGGCAGCAGUGAGGAAUAUUGGUCAAUGGGCGGAAGCCUGAACCAGCCAAGUCGCGUGAAGGAUGAAGGUAUUAUGUAUUGUAAACUUCUUUAGACGUAGAGAAAUAAGGGGAUCGUGAUCCCUGAUGCUAGUAUACGUAGAAUAAGGAUCGGCUAACUCCGUGCCAGCAGCCGCGGUAAUACGGAGGAUCCGAGCGUUAUCCGGAUUUAUUGGGUUUAAAGGGUGCGCAGGCGGCUUUUUAAGUCAGUGGUUAAAUCGUGGAGCUUAACUCCAUCCCGCCAUUGAUACUGGAGAGCUUGAUUGCGGUUGAGGUUGGCGGAAUUCGCCGUGUAGCGGUGAAAUGCAUAGAUAUGGCGAAGAACUCCGAUUGCGUAGGCAGCUGACCAAGCCGUAAAUGACGCUCAUGCACGAAAGUGCGGGGAUCGAACAGGAUUAGAUACCCUGGUA
rnacentral:rRNA from 1 species